rnacentral:lncRNA from 1 species
AAAGACACUGCAGCGAUGCGUUGAGCAGGACGCGCUUUAGUGCUGCGCUACAAACUUCACUUUAAAUGCCUGUAUGUUAUGACGUAAACAUUAAAGUCAGUUGUAAUCACAGCGGUACAGUGAGGCGAGAUCUUUCCGGCGCUCAGCUGGAGCUCAGAUCAGCUGUCCUUCAGCAUGUGAUUAGUUUUAGACAAUUAACUUGAUGUUUCAGGGCAAUGGAGAGUGAGCAGUCAAAAACAUUUGGAGGCGGCGGAGAAGAUUCAUCAGGCUCCGACACGCUGUCAGAAGGCGAGACGCGAGCAGACCACUAUGAGUCCGAAUUACGCUUUGAGGAAUUUACUCACUCCUCAGAUUUUGUAGGUCUUGACGAAAAAAUGAAAGGAACUGAUUCUGAUGAAUGCAGCGCCGAGAUAAAAGCGAUAAAUCAGGGUGGUCAGGAUGAAGGAGAAAAUGACGGGGACGAGGACGAAAUGCCGGAUAAUAUCCUCUUUCCCCCCUCCGUGUCCUUCCGCAAGUUCAGCAACCCAGAGGUUUCUUCUCUUGGCUCCAGUUUAGCACUGAAAUUCAAAAGACAACUCAGUGAAGAUGGCAGACAGCACCGGAGGGGAAGUCUAGGGGGCGCUCUUACAGGGAAAUACCUGUUGCCAUAUGCCCAGCAGUCAUGGUCAGCCUCAAGCUCGGAGACCACCAACCUUGUGCGCAUGCGCUCGCAGACCUUGGGAAAAUCUGCACCUUCUCUCACAGCCAGCCUGGUCAGUAGAGUUUAACCUG